rnacentral:rRNA from 1 species
CCUACGGGUGGCAGCAGUGGGGAAUAUUGGGCAAUGGGCGCAAGCCUGACCCAGCAACGCCGCGUGAAGGAAGAAGGCUUUCGGGUUGUAAACUUCUUUUGUCAGGGACGAAGCAAGUGACGGUAGCUUACUAAUAAGCCACGGCUAACUACGUGCCAGCAGCCGCGGUAAUACGUAGGUGGCAAGCGUUCUCCGGAUUUAUUGGGUGUAAAGGUCGUGUAGGCGGGAAUGCAAGUCAGAUGUGAAAACUAUGGGCUCAACCCAUAGCCUGCAUUUGAAACUGUAUUUCUUGAGUGCUGGAGAGGCGAUCGGAAUUCCGGGUGUAGCGGUGAAAUGCGUAGAUAUACGGAGGAACACCAGUGGCGAAGGCGGAUUGCUGGACAGUAACUGACGCUGAGGCGCGAAAGCGUGGGUAGCAAACAGGAUUAGAUACCCUUGUAGUC